rnacentral:rRNA from 1 species
AUGGUGAUUCACAUUCCACAAUUACUCAUCGGCGGCCAUCUCCUCCCUCUCCUCCAAGUCCACCUCAGUCAUCUCCUCCUUGCCGCUGCAACUUCGCUCCACUCAGGCAACCCCCACCCACCCCCACCCCCUCUUACACGGCAGAUCGAGCUGAUGGCCGGCGACGAGAACACCGACUUCGUGCAGAUCGUCGGCGGCGACCAGGUCAAGUUGGCCAGGUUGAGGGAGAUCCGUUCUUGGUUUGACAACACAAGGCAGAUGAACUGGACGGCAAUGGCCACUCUCAAGAAUAUGACGAAGAAGGAGAGGGCAAAGCUUUGCCCCCCGCCCGCACAACCGAUUGACAAGAUCGAGAUCCUCCUCUGGGCGAUGGAGCAGGCCAAUUCGUCCAGCGAGUGGACCAGGCGGAGGUGGUGGGCGUUCAGAUCCAGGGUAGAGCAUCCACUGGAUCAGGAACCCACCGUGCACGAGGUGCCGUUGCAGAUUGUGCAGCCUCCAACCGAGUCACCGGAGACUCCGAAGCGCAAGAUGAGGAGGACAGUGGUCGCGACCUCGCUUCCCCGCCGUUCUCCACGCUUCCCUCGCCGCUCUCCUCGUCUGGACGGCGGCGGUAGCUAUGUUUAG